AGCCCUCAGCGUACAUGCCAGCUAAUUACAGAUGCAGGAGCAAACCCCUGGCCCAUACAUCAAUUUUAAUGUCAUUGAAUACAGAGAACAAAUCUCAUUCAUUUUGGUAUCGGCUCGAGUCAACAAACAUUGAAAAAUCAUUUACUGCGUCUGAUUUUGGAUAAUGAAGAAAUUAACUGAGAAAGAAGAUAUAAGACCUGUCAAAUUAUUUUUUUUUGUUUUGUUUGAGACAGAGUCUCACUCUGUCACCCAGGCUGGAGUGUAGUGGCGCAAUCUCGACUCACUGCAACCUCCACCUCCUGGGUUCAAGCGAUUCUCCUGCCUCAGCCUCCUGAAUAGCUGGGCUUACAGGCAUGCGCCACCAUGCCCAGCUAAUUUUUGUAUAAAGUAGAGAUGCAGUUUUGCCACAUUGGCCAGGCUGGUCUCGAACCCCUGACCUCAGGUGAUCUACCCACCUUGGCCUCCCAAAGUGCUGGGAUUACAGACGUGAGCCACCACGCCCAGCCUGACCUGUCAAAUUCUUGUCAAACUCAACUUCAUGUAACGUUGAACUGUAACUAUCAAGUUAGAAUAUUUUUUCAUUUGUUUGCAUAUAUAUAGGCUUCAUCAGUCUUAAUUUAGUGAUCUCAGUUAAGAAGCAAUCUGAAAUAUGUUUUGCUUUCACUUUUGGGAAAGAGUCUGAAAUUAAUAGAAGUAAAUA
rnacentral:antisense_RNA from 1 species